GUCACAGAUGAGAAUGUAUGAUGGUGAAAGCCUCUAUUCAUUAUGAGAAGUCUCUAUCCAUGGAUAUGUCUUUCUGGACAUUUUCUUUUUAUGAAAUAAAAUGACUACCAUCUUACAAGCUCCCAGAACUGAAGGCUAGAAAUACAGUACUAGUGGUCAUAGAAAAUGGAAUGAAAUAGAGACCGAAACCCUACUGCAGAUUAAGAAAGAAAAAAUCAUCUCUAUAUAAGAAGGAAAACCUUGGAAAGAAGAAAUAGCUAGAUGCUGCUACAUCCUUCAUAUAUGUGUAGUCACAAUCACAAAUGAGUUUCUUAAAGUCAACAUUUCAGUAAUGCCUCCAAUUGUGUUCAUAAACUGAUCCUAAAGGACUGAUCAUAGAAAUAACUGCUGGAAAGCCCUGAAGGUGAAGAGGAGUGCUGACUCUGUGUUUAAACAAAAAAUAGAUUUAAUCACAUGAACUGUGCUGGAAUUAUUUUCAUUCAACAUUUCAAAGAUGUGGUAAUUUUUUAUAUCAUCUUGCCCGAGUCCUGGUUUUUGUGACAAGUAAUCCAUCCUGAGUUAACUCCUUAACUGGGGAUGGGUAAGUGCUUUCCUUAUAUCUAAGCUAUGCUCUCUGUAAAACAGUACUUUGAGAUUGGGACAGUAAGUAAUGUGUGUGUGUUUGUAUGUGUGUGUGUGUGUGUGUGUGUGUGUGUGUGUGUGUGUGCUUUAAACUAUACAUUUUCACACUGACUCUAUCAGAAAGUGGCAUUAAGUCACUGGCGGGGCGGGGGGCAUUUUUUAAAAGCUAAAUGAGAAACCCAAAAACAAUAGGAGGCUAAGUUUUUACAGCAUGCACUAAAGAACUAUGAUUCUAGAAUGUAACUAUGCCUUACUAUAUAAGGGUGAUACACUUUUUCACAGAACUGUUUAUAUAUGCUCCAUGUACAAAAUGGGCAUAUUAAAAUUACUUCUGAGUGAAUGCAGAGAGUAAAGAGUGAUCACAGAUUUAGGCUUAUAAACAGACACAGGAGAAAACUAAAUUUUGAUGUUUCCUUUAUUAAAUACAAAGUAGUAUAUAUUAAAAAUCAGUUUUCAAUAGAAUAUUAAGUAAAUGCCAUGUAUUCUGGAAUUUAGUGCAGUUGCUUAAUGCAAUUAUGGUAUGACAUUAAAACCUAAUUCAUUUUGAAUACCAUGCUAUCCAAAAGAGAAAAAUAUUACAAUGCACACCAUUAUUCUAAGCAUCACACUUGACAAGUGUAAUUUUAUAGUUCGGUGUUUCCCAGAUAAGAAAGAACAUAUCCAUUCCCACCUACCCCAACUCCAAGCACAAUAUACACUUCAAAGAAGCUAUGAGUCUUCAUUUCUUCAAGUAGACUUGAGACUUCUUGAGGUUAGGAAAUGUUAUUUUGUAUCCUCAUCUUAUUCAUUGCUCCUAAAUAUGUAUUUAUUAAAUAUUAUUAAAGAAGAAAGAUUUAAGAAGACUGUUACUUUGUAGCUUUUAGACCUUGGUAUGUCUGUGUAUUAACCACUUGACUGUUUACAGAUAAAAGGACUAGAUUUAGGAUUUACUCCCUCAUUCAUAGCCAAGACCAAAAUGUAAGGUUAGGAAUUUUAGAGGUCUUAAAAUAAAGAAAAGAUUGUAGGUCAUUUAGUUCUGUGAACCUACAGUUUGCUGCUGAAUUAGGAAGAUUGCAAGAGUUCACCAGGCAAGUCACCUUCAAGCUGUCAAUAUAUGGUCUUUGCCUCUCAAGGGAAACCAUGCAGAAACAGACACUUAAUUUUUUUUCCCACUGUAUCCCUACCUAAUUGUUUAGCAGCAAGGAUCUCAACAAUCUGUACAGCAGAUGUGACUACCUCACUUAACACUAUCAUAGGAAGGAAAUAAGGGCAGAAGAGUCAUAUGCUAAUGGUAAAGAUGCACAGAGAAACUGCUGCCUGAGCACAGAUAACACACCUCUCUCCAGCCAUCUGUCCCACCAUGUGUGCUGCACAUCACAGGAGGAUAUGAGAGGGGUGGACAGCUGACAAGUUUUUCAGAGUGGCAAAAGAAUGGCUUUCAACAGCAGUGUGAUACUAGAGGAUAAGAGUUUUUAUUAAUAUUGCAAGGAAUGUAUUAUUAUUGUUACUUAAAGGACCAAAUGUUUUAGCAUUGCAUAUUUUUUAAAAAUAAAUUAAUGUCAUGUUAUUCCUUUCUCUCACUCACUGCAUUCUGAUGUUCUUUCUUGAGUGGCGGGGAGAGAUGCAUAGUUACAGCUGAAAUGCAAGAAUGGCACACUGUGGUUUCUGGUAUAUGACACCCACUCUGCAUACAUAAAUGAGACCAAGGUGGAGAGGGGCUGCUGCUGCAGGAAAUCACAGACUG